CUGGCCCAAGUGCUCAGUCCCACACGUGGCUAAUGGCUACCACAUUGGAUGAUUCAGCUCUACCUCUUUCUGUACCCUACAGGCAAAUGGACUUCCCGAAAUGCAAAUAUCACCAGGCCUUUUGAUGUUUUAAGACGCAUCCUGGCUUCUCCAUUAUUCCUAAGAUAAAGUCCGUAAGGUUCUUCUUGAUGUGGUUCCAAGUCACGCUUCCAGACGACCUGCCCGUAAGCCCUCCAGUUCUGAUGCCCGAAAGUAGUGGGGAUCUGGAGACCACUGAUGGCUCAUCUUGGUUAACUCACAAUCGUCCAUCCAUCCAUCUAUGUACCUGUACAACCACCCAUCCGUUCAGGUGACUCCAGGAGCCCUAUGGUAAGUGUUGAGAAUACCUCGACAGAGAGCAGAUGCAUGCUUGCCCUGUGGAGCCUCAGCUGGGGGAGCCACUCUGAGACGAGAGCUCAGGACCUCUCCAGGUUGCUCGGAGUGUACCUUCUGUGUUCAGUCCCCAUGCUGGGUGUGGCUGAGAAAGCUUGAGCGUUGGAGAGCCACACCCACGUCCCAAGUGACCGAGCGUGUCAUGUCUGCACACGUGCUGAGCUCUGCUUUGCAAACCUUGGGGUUGCUUUGGAGAUCACGGGUACAAAUGGACAGGGACAUCCUUUGAAGUGUGUGAAUGGCUUUUAAAAUUUUGCUAUUACUAAAUCUCUGGUUCUGACUCCUGCCCAAAGAAGACCAGCUGGAACCUCUAGCCAAAAACCCAAGAACUAGGCAGUGAAAUGUAGUUUUAAAAAUACUGCAAAAUCGCAAGAUGAUGAUUUGGAUGCUGGAUUCAUUGCUUGAAGGUGUAUGACUUGGGCAAGCCACAUGGCCUGGGUUAGCUUCACGUGUUUGAUAUCCGUGGUAGGAACAAGAGCGAUAAUCUCAGACUGCCAGGGUGGUAGAAGGUCUCCUGGCAAAUGUCUGUGUUAAAUUCUUUCUCUUGGCCGGCGCUGAAGCUCACUAGGCUAAUCCUCCGCCUUGCGGCGCUGGCACACCGGGUUCUAGUCCCGGUUGGGGCGCCGGAUUCUCUCCUGGUUGCCCCUCUUCCAGGCCAGCUCUCUGCUGUGGCCAGGGAAUGCAGUGGAGGAUGGCCCAAGUGCUUGGGCCCUGCACCCCAUGGGAGACCAGGAUAAGUACCUGGCUCCUGCCAUCGGAUCAGCGCGGUGUGCUGGCCGCAGCGCGCCAGCCCUGGCGGCCAUUGGAGGGUGAACCAACAGCAAAAGGAAGACCUUUCUCUCUGUCUCUCUCUCUCUCACUGUCCACUCUGCCUGUCAAAAAAAAAAAAAAAUUCUUUCUCUAACUUAGCCACAUGGGGCGUCUUUGACUCUCUCUGGACCCCAGAACAGGAAAGGACACUUCACCUUGGCUAUGCAGGUGAGGCUUGGGGACUUAAAUAUGUGUGGUUUUAGGGAAGAGGAUGGUGACACAGGAAUUGACUUAGCAUUAGCUUGGGCUUUUAUUCUGCUUUAAUUCUAGUUUAAAAAAUAAACUUAUGUUUGAAUUCCUUUUUUUCAUACACUUAUUAAGUGUAUUUUUUCCUAUUAGGAAAAAAUUUUUUCAUUUGACAAGCAGAGAAACAAAGGUUGAGAUAGAGACACCGAGAAAGAGCACUCCCACCUGCUGGUUCAUUCCCCAGAUGCUUGCAAUGGCUGGGGCUGGGAUUGGAGCUGGGAGCUGGGAAUACAAUCCAGGUCUCCCAUGUGGGUGUCAGGAUCCCAAUAACUUCAGCCGUCACUGCUGCCUCCAAGGGUCUACUUGAGUUGGUGUCAGGAGCCAGAGUCAGGGAUUGAACCCAGACUCUGAUGUGGAAUACGGAUGUCUUAACUGGCUGCUGUUGGUUUUUUUUUUUUUUUUUUUUGAUUUAUUUCUUUGAAUGUCAGAGUUACAGAGGGCUUGAGGGGGAGAGACAGAUGGCCGCAAUGGCCAGAGCUGGGCUGGUCCAAAGCCAGAGCUUCCUCUGGGUCUCCAUCGUGGGUGCAAGGGCCUAAGGCCUCAGGCCAUCUACCCCUGCUUUCCCAGGCACAUUAGCAGGGAGCUUGACUGGAAGUGGAGCUGGGACUUGAAUCGGUGCCCAUAUGGGAAGCUGGCUUUGCAGGUGGCAGCUUUAUCCACUAUGCCAUAGUUCUGGCCCUUUAACUGGUUUCUUCACUGCUAGGACAAAUGCCUGAUCCUAGAUUUUCAUCGUUGACUGUUGGUGGUAGCUGUUGAUUCGUGUCUUGCCUGAGCUGAGAGCUAUGAAAAGUGAUGUUGGGUCAGAGAGUGACAUCUGGUUGCUGGUUUCAAGAUGCAGGUGGGAAAGUUGAGCCACUUUCCCCCUUCCUAUAAAUAGGGAGCUGGGAUGAGAGAUUACCACCAACAUAACAAGUUCAUGUGCAAGUUUGUACACGGAGCUCAUUAUGUCUGUUAAAAGGAAACGGGGAACCACCCCAAGCCGGGCAUCCUUGGGCAGGCUUCUCAACUUAUCUGCACCCAGCUUUCCCCUACAAAGUGGGGGUCACAGGGAUACCUACCUCAUAGAAAUGUGAGAAUAAACUAAGAUCAGCAUGCACUUAGAACAAUGCAGUAAGCACACAAUAAGUGCUUCCUUUUAAUUAACUUUUUUUUUGGCUUGUACUGGCAAAGAAUAGCGUUGGAAAGACACAAGCUCCCAGGUACAGUGUCACUGCCUCUCAACUGGCCUGUGGUCUGGAAGUGGGUGGGAUACUUGAUGUUUAACUUGGAUCUUUCUGCAUUGCUAGAAGAUUGCCCCUUGUAGCCAUUCUUUUUUUUCACAAAAACAGACAAGAACUUUUAGGAAGAGAGCAGAAAACCCCUUGGUCUACAUACUCACUGUACUAUUUUCACCUCUAGCAGGGACCAACAAACCAUGACAUCUCCCCCAGAUCCGACCUGGGAUCUGUCUUUGUGCCACUUCUAAGAUGGCCUUGACCCUUCAGGGAUUCCAUGGGGCCUGUGUGCGGCACAAUGGGUUAACUGCAGCUUGUGACACCAGCAUCCCAUACUGGGGCACCCAUUCAAGUCUUAGCUGCUCCACUUCCAAUCCAGCUCUCUGCUGUGGCCUGGGAAAGCAGUAGAAGAUAGCCCAGGUCCUUGGGCCCCUGUACCCAUGUGGGAGACCCAGAGGAAGCUCCUGGCUUCAGAUUGGUGCAGUUCUGGCCAUUGCGGCCAUCUGAGGAGGAAACCAUUGGAUGGAAGACCUCCCUCCCUCUCUCUGUGAAUAAAUCUUUAAAAAAAGUGCAUUCUCUCUCUCCCCACCCCAUGCUCUUUUAAAUAAUACUUUUAAAAACUGUAUAUAAAAAAUUCAAGAUAUUUACUAUCUGGCUGUUUACUGAAAAGGUUCUCUAGAGCAAAAAUAGUGGUUUUGUUUUAAAGAUUUUUUAUUUAUUUGAAAGACUUGGAGAAGCAGAGGCAGAGAGGGCAAGAUCUUCUAUGCAUGGGUUCACUCUCCAAAUGGCCACAAUGGUCAGGGCUGGGCCAGGCUGAAGCAAGGAGCCAGGAGCUUCAUCUGGGUCUCCCACAGGGGUGCAGGGUCCAGGCAGUCAGGACAUUUUCCACUGCUUUCCCAGGCACAUUAAUAGAAAGCUGGGUGGGAAGUGGAGCAGGUGGGACUUGAACAGGUGUCCAUAUGGGAUGCAGGUGGCGGCUUUACCCACUACACCACAGUGCUGGCCCCUAGUGUUUUUUCUUUAAGAUUUUAAAAAUUUGACAGGUAGAGUUAGACAGUGAGAGAGACAGAAAGGUCUUCCUUCCAUUGGUUCACUCCCCAAAUCUGUCUGUGCUGAUCCGAAGCCAGAAGCCAGGUGCUUCUUCCUGGUCUCUCAUGUGGAUGCAGGGCCCAAGCACUGGGGCCAUCCUCCACUGCACUCCCGGGCCACAGCAGAGAGCUGGACUGGAAGAGAAGCAACUGGGAUUAGAACCUGGUGCCUGUAUGGGAUGCUGGCGCCCUAGGCGGUGGAUUAACCAAGUGUACCAUGGCACCGGCCCCUUUUUUUAAGAUUUAUUUUUAUUUGAAAGGCUGAGAAAGAGGGAUCUUCAGCUGGUGGUUCACUCCCCAAAUGGCCACAAUGGCUGGAACUGGGUCAGAUUGAAGCCAGGACCCCAGAACUCCAUCCUGGUCCCAUGUGAUUAUCAGGGGGCCAAGCACUUGGGCCAUCUUCUGCUACUUUCCAGGCACAUUAGCAGGGAGCCAGAUUGGAAGUGGAGCAGCUGGGACAUGAACCAGUGCUACGAAGUGGGAUGCUGGCAUCCCAGGCUGCAGCUUAACCCACUGUGCCACAGUGCUGGUCCCCAUGUGUGGUUUUUAAAACGCUCAUGAUAGCCACUCAGAUGGUCUGGUCAGGGGCAUGGGACAGUGACUCCUUGGGACCUGGAGCAGGCUUGGCACAUAGUAGGUGCUCAGUCAGGGUUCUGAUGAAGGCGUUCACAGCAAAGAGGUUCCUCCCUCUGUCUUUGAGACUGGGAGCUCAGAGGCCAUGUGUUGCCUCCCUCUGAUCUCAGAGCUAUUUUAGUAGUAAAAGGUGUUCUCUUAAUUGAGUAAAUACUUCUUGUUUUCUUACUGUGGCUACUUCUUACCUUCUUCGUGACAGGUGGGUUACGUUUUGUUGGAGGGCACAGUGGGGAGGUAAUACUAACAGGGACCACUUGAUGGCGGUAUACCUCUUAGAAACGGGCUCAGAAAGUGCCUGGCGCCAGGGAGGAGUAGGUCUCCGGAUUUCAGGGUCUUGCCCUGGAUAGACAGAUCUUGUUCUCGACUUGCCCUUGUCACUCACCUAUCGUGUGACUGUCAGCAAACGACCUUUAGCCUCAAUAGCCUUAUAUGCAAAAGGCAGAUUAGAAUCCUGCCCACCUUGGAUGUUGUGUCAAGAGACCGACUGGAGAAGGCUCUUUGGAAACCAUGUGUGCAGCCGCAGAUGUGAGUUUGAAACACAGCCUCCUCGCCGUGGUGCAGCUCCAAAAAGCAUGGCAGCUUGGGUGACCUCCUGGGGUCGGGGGGCAGCGCUGUGCAGAGGGGACCGUGUUGUCGGCCGGACGUGAAGGCAAUGCUCUCUUCAGAGCUCCUGCCUUGCAGGUUUAAGGGGACAGGAGAUGCUAUGUGUCAAGCAUUUUGCAUAGGGUCUGGAAAUGUCAGCGGCUGCUUGAUGAUUUGUGAUUCUGCCCUUGGAGCCCCCUCUCAUCUCUCCUCUUCCUGCCUCUUCUUUGGCCAUUCUGACCCUUGGGAGGGGGGCGUCGCGUUUCUACCUCCAGCGUGGCCAAGGCUGCUGAGUUUUACCUCUCUUUAGUGUGUGUCCUGUCCCUGAUGUUCCACCUUGCUCUCCCCACAGUCACUGCCACAGCCUCCCAAGCUCCCUAAACCCUGCCUUGCACCCCACACAGUAGCCAUUUUUUAUGAAAGACUUAUUUGAGAGGCAGAGUUAGAGAGGCAGAGAGAGAGAGAGAGAGAGAGAGAGAGAGAUCUUCCAUCUGCUGGUUCACUCCCCAAAUGGCUGCAAUGGCCAGAGCUGAGCUUAUCUAGAGCCAGGAGCUUCUUCUGGGUCUUCCAUGCAGGUGCAAAGGCCAAAGGACUUGGGCCAUCUUCUGCUGCUUUCCCAGGCCACAGCAGAGAGCUGGAUUGGAAGUGGAGCAGCUGGGACUCGAAUCAGUGCCCAUUUGGGAUGCUGGCACUACAGGCAACGGCUUUACCUGCUACGCCACAGUGCUGACCCUCAUUUAUUUUCUUGAAGGCAAAUCUGAUUACUCCCCAGCUCAAAAUCCUCCCAUGGCUCUCUACUGCCAGCAAGAUACAGUUCAAGUUUCAUAACAUGGCCUCCUUCUAGGGUAUCUGAAAACCUGACUUCUGCCUCCCUCCUUAACCUACCCCCCCCUUUUUUUUUAAAUUUUUUUAAAAAGACAUUUAUUGAAAGGCAAGGUUAGAGAGGUCUUUCAUCUGCUGGUUCACUUCCCAGGUGGCCACAAUGGCCUGAGCUGAGCUGAUCCAACGCCAGGAGCUUCUUCUGGGGCUCCCGCGUGGGUGCAGGGGCCCAAAGACUUGGGCUGUCUUCUGCUUUCCCAGGCCACAGCAAAGAGCUGGAUCGGAAAAGGAGCCACUGGGACUUGAACCGGUGCCCUUAAGGGAUGCUGGCACUGCAGGCAGCAGCCCCACCCUGCCCUCUUUAUCCUUCCAAUCUGAACUAAAGUCCAGCUGGGCUCAUGUUUAAAUGAUAAAUCAGCUUCUCUUUGCCCCUGGGCCUUUGCACAAGCUGUUCUACCUGGAAAUUCUCCCCUUGUUCCUCACCUGGAUGCCCUUCUUGGCAAGGUCCUGCUUCCCUUAGUUCCAUUCCUUCUCCUUGAAAGUCUCCCCAGACAUCUCAAGUAUGAGUCGGUGCUCCCUCCCCCCGCCCCCUGCAAUCUUCCUGUGCCUGCUUUAAUUGGGCACUGCUGCACUGACUGGCCAGUGUCAUGAGAUGUCAGCUUUGAUGGUUGCCUGUCACUUGAGACAUGGGUCACCCUGGUAGAGUCCCCAUCCCACGUCUGGUGGGAAGCCAAGUGUCCGUCCCAGGUCUGCAUUCUGGAGAGCUCAUGUGAUCCUGGUCUCUCUAGCUUGGCCUCCUGUGCUUCAGAGCUCGGUAGUGUGUUGGGGUCCACAUCCCUCAAAGCCCUCUAUUUGCCCCCAAGCAACCCAGAGGGAAAACACAGUGCCGCUUCCUUAUUUCUUUAAAAUGCUGCUUAUGGAGGACACUUGGGCAUGUGGCAGGAAUCGCUGAAGUUCAAGGUGAUGGAGGGAUGUGGGUGUUGGCAUCGUAUUUCUUAGAGGUCGUUUGGCCAGCCUUUCAGCAGAAACCUCUCUCCCAAGGUCUCUACUCACUCGCGGGCUCCUCCUCCUGCUCGCCCUCCUUCGCAUUUCUCUCUCCAUUCUUUUUUCUUAAAUUGGCUCUGCUCCUUCUCUGCUACCCUUCACUCAAAUUUACAUUUAAUACAGGGCUGUGUAGGGUCUCCUUCAGUCUCUGCAUAGAUGGCAUCACACCUUAAUGCCUGGAAUAGCUCGGCAAAACAUCUUGUUAGCCACAGGGUACCUUGGAGGAGAGAUGCGUCUGUUGUAUAGUCCCUGGGUUCCCUACCCCAUCUCGUUAGCUGGCCAAGCUCCACGUGAACUCCACGAGAGCAGAGACCCUUCCUGCCUCGUUCACGGCUCCAUUCUCGGCACCCAGGACUUGGCUAAUGCCUCCUGGGCUCUCGAUGUGCGCUGGAUGAGUGAGUGACAGAAUAGGUGAAUGGAGCAGAUGCUGCUUAGACUGAACAGUGUUUCCUAUUCAACUCUCCUCACCACUUUGGAAUUACGGAGAGAGAUGGAAGCCCCCUACGUGAAUACCAUGAUAAUCUGGGCAUAACAGCAGAUUAAGACCAGUUUCUCAAUGGUUUAUUCCGCUCAGCAAUCACUUGAGAGUUGACAUGACCACAGCUCCGCAAAUAUGAGAGCUAGGUGGGCUUAAGACCAAGAGGAGGUGAGGGUUUCAAAGGCAAAGAACACUCACGUGUUUGGGGAUGACAGGGAGGUAAGCUUCCCUGUGUAACCAAGACCACCAGAAAAUCUGUGAGCACUUCCACUGUUGGGAUUUUCUUGUACAUCUUGUACCUUGUUGCCUAGAUGGGUAAUGGCCCUUCCACCCAUCCCUCCACCCACCUACCCACCCAGCCAGCCAUCCACCCAUCCACCCAUCCACCCAUCCCUCCACCUACACAUCCAUCCAUCCAGGAAGCACAUAUAAUGUUGAGGAACAACGCUGCAGUUUCAGUGCUGUGAGAUGGGGAUGACAGCAGUACCAGCUUAACAACGUGCGCUGGAGACUUAGGUGAUCUUCUAUGGGAGGAGUCUGGCUGCGUAGCAGAGGCUCGAUGGGUGGGGACUGUCCCUAUUGAUAGGAUCUGAAUACUGCACCCAAACUCCGGGGUGAUAUCAAACUCGGCUCGACUUUAUUCAGAAUCUGAGAGGGAGGACCAGGGUGGAGGGAUCCUGAGAAGGGAUUUGGCGUCAGGCCUGGCCCACAGGAAGAACAGGGGUGUGGUGGGGGAGGCAAGGCAGGAUCCAACUUCCAGGUGCUCCUUCUGCAUCGUGAUGGACACGUCGUGGGGGCAGGUGGAGGCAGGGACAUGGUGUCGAUUGGCCCUCUCCCCUCGGGGACAGCUGGUGGACCCAGGCUCAGGCUACGCCAGGGUGCUGUGGGGCCUGAUGGGCGUGCUGAGCCGGCCCUGGAGCCAGCUGAUGUAAUCCUCUUGAGGCAUAUGGAUGAUGUGUUCCCGUACAAACUGUGGGACAAACACAGGGUGUUCAAAAAGUUUAUGGAAAAUGGAGUUGAAAGGUAAGCUUAGUUCAGUGCAAGAUUGUUUGGAAAUCCACCCAUGCUGACAGCUCUGUGGCCUGUCCCAGGCUGGGAACUCCAGGGGUCCCUUUAGCCGGAGGCACUGGAAGCUCUACUAGGAUGCACAGAUGUUAUAGAAUUAAGGAAGGGACCUCAUCAGUAUCGGCUAACAUCUUACAGCCAGGAGUCUUUGCUGCACGGCCGGAGGGGACAGAGUCCUGGGACCUCCUCUCAUGAGGGUGAACCACUCAGAGAUGAAGACCUAACUCUUGGCCCUGCUCUACCAGGGUCUGUGCACACCGGCCUCUCCAGCCCGUGGGGACCCACGCACCUCCCUGCUCACUUCUUCCACACCCACUGCCGGCCACUGUGUUUCUCUCACCCGGUUGGGUCCUGCCCUAUAACCUCGACACGUGUCCUGUUUUUGACCCUUUCUCUUCCUAGUGCUGUCUUCACGUUGCUUAGGCCUCAACUUCAAAGCCACGUUCUCCAGUUCGCCCCAGUCCGAGGAGGUGAGCUAACUUACGUUAAACCGGAGCACCUCAAACUUUAUCGUGUGGACAGAACACCUGUGGCCCUAUUGCCCUGCAAGUCCCGUGCUGGGGAGAUAGGGCUUGAAGCUGGGGCUUCUGCUUUUCUUACAAGUUCCCCAGGGAGCCAGGUUCAUGCUGUUGGCCCUUGGACCACAUUCUGGUAGCAAGGUGCAGGGAGCACCUUCCUAUGAUUGGCCAAAGUCUCUGGGUUUCCAGUGGGUGCCGUUUGCAUAGAAUAGAACAUCUCUGAGACAUGGAGGCCCAUGGCCAAGGUCACUUGACCAGUGCCUGGGUGCUGAGAGAUGACUGGAUGUGGGCAUUGUGUGGGGGAAGGGGCACGGGGCUGACCUCGAUGGCCACGGCAAUGUCGGGGGAGCACAGCUCCCAGACUCUCAGCUCCUGCAGCACCUUCAAGAGGAUGUGGGGCCGAAUCCUCAGGUCCAAGUUCUCCCCAAACUUCUGCAGUUUCAGCAGGACCUUCUUGGCGGGGAGGAAGUUCUUCAGGUCCUCGGGGAGCUUAGACAGGAGGUCAAAGUACCUUCGAUCCCAAAGAGGAAGGGGGGCCGGUUAGGGAGCUGUGGGAGAUGGGUCUGGGCUGCCUGCGCCCUCCACCUCUGCGUUCUGUGUCUGCAAGGACAGCGUGCAUCUCUCCCUGGGAACUUUCCCCCUGCCCCAGCUCGUGAGGGCACAGGGAGGGGCAGGACUUUGUCUGUAGGGGUUAGGAAAUGCUGGAGUGUGACUUGUGUCCAUUCGGUGUUGAGGGUGUGCUUUCAAGGGAUGCACUUGGCUUUAUUUCAUGCAGGGAGUGGGAAAAGCUAGAUGCAAGGAAGGGAUGUUGGGAUUGUAGCUUCCCUUCUGAGAGUUAACCAGGCUGGUUGCACGUGGAUUACAUGCAGGGGAUGCGGGAGGUUGGCCCGUGGAAGAGGGCUGCACGUGGAUUACAUGCAGGGGAUGCGGGAGGUUGGCCCGUGGAAGAGGACGUGGGUGCGUGUUUUCCCAUGUCCCUGACAGCUCAGUGUGUUCCAGCAUCGCAACAGGACCCCAGCCUGGAGAGGUGGGAACAGGCAGGUACUAACCUGCCUCCAUGGAUGGGUCAGAUGUGAUCAAGGCUUUGGGCAGGGAAUAACAUUUCCUUAAAGAAAAGUGACCAGUAUUUUGCAUAGUGGCUAAGAUGCAGCUGGGAUGCUUGCAUCCGAGUCGGAGUACCUGGGUGUGAGCUCUGGCUCUGCUGUUCAGCUUCCUGCUGAUGCUCACCCUGGGAGGCAGCUGUGAUGGCUUGUGUAAGUGUCCUACUCACUUGCGGGGGAGCCCUGGUUGACACUCUGGCUCCCAAAUGCCAUUGUGAGAUUGGGGAAGGGGAGUAAGCCUGCAGAUGGGAAUGCCUGCUCUGUCUCUGCCUUUCAGAUAAAUAAAUGAAACAUAACUUUGUUAGAAAAAGUGUCCACUCAACCCCAAGGGAUAUUCAAAAAUUCCAUGGAAAAUGUGUAUUAUGAAAAAACCAUGCCUGGAUCUAAACUUAUCUUUUAAUUCUAUUUUCCAUGGGCUUUUAGAAGUAACCCUGGGUCUGUGCCCAUUGUGGGAAAAUUUUGAAGAUACUGAUCCUUCAUCAUCCAUCUCUGGCUACUCCUACUGCUUAACUUUUAUGGUAGGUAUUUACGUAUUUAUAUCUCCUGGUUUAGGAUGAAAUCCCCAUGGGAUCAGGACCUUGUCUGAAUUACUGAGUAUCCAUAGUAUGAGAAAUCUGCUGACUCAUAGCAGGUGCACAACAGUUACUACUUGAAGGACUGAGUGAGUAACUGGAUGGAUGAAGAAUUAGGACUGGGCGUCACAUUAGGCUGGGUGUGUCUGCCUAGGUUUUCAUGUCGCUACAGAGGACAACCGCUCCCCCCAGGAAGAUGCUGGAAAUUCAACUCCUAGAGGAUGGGUUGAAGCCCACCGUGGAGGGCCAGUGUUCAUCUCCCACUGCGAUACUCCUAUGUGGCUAGUUUAUGACUUUUCUCCCCCUGCCUGACAUCCACUUCCCUCCCAAGGAGGGGAGAGGGGUCACAGAAGACCCCUUGCCCCUGAGAGCCUCAGGGUGGGUGUUGGGAGGAGGAUUGCUCUGUGAGGGAGAGGCAGUGGGGAAGGUCCCACCACCCCGCCAGGAACCCAGGCACUGGCUUGAAGCUCCCAUCCCGUGGUACUAUAGUCACGGAAGGGAUUCUGGACACACCUUUUGGGCUUUGUCAUCUUCCGCUGUUAGGAUGGGGACAGCACAGCUCAUGGGACUUCAAUGCUAUAUUCUUGCAAGUGAGCAUACAGACUGGGGUCAGGUGGGGGUCUACAUCCUAAAUUCACCAUUUGCUAUGGAAGUGAUCUUGGACAAGUUAUCUGUUUUCCUGUUUGUGAAAUAGGGGUUGCAUUGUAUGCCCUGAGGAUUUCUUCUGGUAUGGGAUGAACUAGAUAAUUAAUGGAAGUUCCUCAGGUAGCACCUGCCAUCCACCAGUCACUCAAUUAGGGCUGCAUAGUGUUGUUACUUUGUUACCACCCUUGGGAUGAGGCACAGUGGCCCUAGGAUAUACAUGCCCAGGCAUCCUUUAGGGAUUAAACGUGAGAGGAAAUGAGCGGAUCACCCCACAGACCUAAAAAUCCAUGGGGAAUUUUGUGUUGGUGAGCCUCACCCAGUGGGUGGGCAGGGUGGUCCUUAGCUGUGGAUCUGAAUUGAACAGAACACAAGUAUGGAGAACACCGUGGACAGGGUUAUCCACAGUUUAACAACGUGGCUGUUCCUGCCCGACUGCUCUGGAUUUGGCCUGGUCAUGGGGGCCUGCUGGUGGCCAGUGGCGGUUUUUGGGUGAUGCUGUCUACGGAAUCCACUGCAAUCCCCUGCCCCUUUCGGGGAUCGUCUCGCCUGGUUCUCGGGACCCUUACCAGUGGUCUGCGAUUUCCUCUGCGUCCCCCUUUAUGACCGCUACUUGAUGUCUCAUUUUCGCCAGAUCCUUUUGAAAGUUUGAGACGAGCACAAAAGAAUCGAACUUCUGGAGACCUCUCUCUUCUUGGCGCCUACAGGGUUGUAAGAGGAGUUGGGUCCCCCUCCUUUGGCCAUCCCAGCUGCCCCCAGAGAUUGCUCACCUAAACACUCUCCUCAGCCUCCAGAGGUCCUUGUCGACCUCUCAGCUGCUCUUCACCAUCUGGCCUUUGCACCAAGAUGACAGAGGGGAAUUGGACAAGUUCAGGGAGAAGGAAUUAAAAGGUAAGUUUAUUUUGGUGCAAAGAUUUCAAAUCCAUGCAUUGAAGGAGUCUUCAACGUGGAUGGAAAAUGCGUGCCACGGAAAGUGUGGAUUUCAAAAUCCACUGCAUAGCUCUCCAGGGUCCUGAAACACUGUUCUUGCUAAAUCGAACCUCUCUGUCUUCCUCCCUCUGCUUCUGACCAUGUUCACACACGUGUCCCACCUGUUACACGGGGGAUGGUGAUGCUCCCUCCUCCGGGGAGGUGGGUUCACGGGGACAGGUGGACGCUGUAGUCAGCCAUUCGCUGUCCUAGCCCGCGUUCUAUCGGGCUGUCAGGGUAGAAGGGAAAAGCUUCCGGGGGCCUGCUGAAGCUUUGAAAACAGGUCCAAGCCCUGGAGCCUGCAUUUGUGACCGUGUGAGAGGCAGCCUUCACUGCCACCACUCGUUCCUCUUGAGGUGCCCCGGGUUCCUUUUCCACUGUAGGACUUUGGAUGCGCUGCUCCUCUGCUUGGAACAACGUUCACCCUGCCCAUCACGGUCCCAGCUCCUCUGCAAGUACCCUCCUUGGAAAUCCUCCCACCUCAACUAGGUUCGUGCCCACCUCCUCCUGGCACGGCAGUUCUAACUGGUGCCCGCAUGGUUGUAGGUGCUGGUAUUUUGCUUCUGCCCCUAUUUGCAGGAGACUGUAAGUGCCUCUUGCCCUGUUGCAGCCCCAGCAGCUCGUGCUGAGGGAACACACGGUAGGGCCCGGGGGGAUGUCUCUUGCGGGAAGGGGUAUGUGUGUGCCCUUACUUUAAGAAGAUCUCCAUCUUGUCCUGAAGGCAGAAGCCAGCCUCCUGGGCCACACUGUAAAACUUGGCCCUCAUGCUGUUACACACCCCCAUCUUGCAGUGGAUGAGGUCAUGGGUGGCCCGGCUGCAGACAGAGGAGAAGGGUUCAGUGGACACCACCCCCUGGCCUUGUGGGGCCUGCUCUGACCUUGCUGCCCUGUGGGGGGAUUUCCUGAACCACCUGGGCUGUUUGCCUUCCCCUAGAGCCUCCCUCAGCCUCUCCGUGGGGGUGGGGAGGCCAGAUCUUCAGGCCUUGCUAAAUGAGCCUAUGGUGAUACACUGGCCCACUUGAGCCCGGCAAAGGUCAUGGACAGUGCGAGGGCAUUUGGAGUGGGGAGAUCUGGGUUCCAGGUCCACACUCCUCAGCUGGGUGGCCUCACCCCCGAUGUGGCCAUGUUCCUGCCCACUCUUCCGUCAGUUUUGAGGACUAAGCAAGGUAGAGCAAGACAGCAGGUGCAGAAGGCUCCCCCGGUGCCUGGCACCAUGCAGGGAUGGAGCGCCAUUGCCUGCUUUGCCACCCAGCAUCGUGGCCAAAGACCCUUGUCCCUCAGCACUGCCUGUGACUUCCGCAAGUCUGGUCUGCACGGGGUCACUUCCACACCUCUGGGAGGCCAGAGAGGGUGGCCUUACCUCUUGGACUUCUUCUGGACUAGCAGCGUGUGGCUCUCUGCACUCGUGCUGCCAGACCGUUCACUGAAACACAAAAGUGGGAUGGCUUCAGGUUACCCUGAGUCUGCUUCUCACACACAGGUGACCUCAGGCCCCCAGUGAACCUGCGAGCCUCCCGACUCCAGGGGAGGUGGGUGCCUCCAAUCGGGGCACCUGUCAUGGAACUCUGUGGCUUUUUCUCCACCUCUUUGCCUUCCUGGAGGUCCUCCUCGUUUCUCUCCCACCUGUUCACGUUGCCUUGUGGUCCCCAGCAAGUAUUGACAUUUGCACACUGCAGUCCCACUGGCCCUCUGCCUCUUAGCUGGGUCCCCAGCUCGGCAUAACCUUGUUCUCUCCCGCUGGAGGGUGGGUUCUCUCUGGGAUUCCUCCACCUUCCUCACCAUCCCCAGAACUGACCCAGGGCCAAGUGCAUGUUUGGAGACAGGAUGGCCGAGUCCUCCCCGAGUGUCGCUGCCCCCGGAUUCUCUCUCCAUGCAAGGACUGAGUUGGACACUGCCUUAGGGGCAGACACAAAUAGUUCCAGAGCCCAACCUAGCGGCCCCUGCUCUCCACUCUCCAGUCUGUGAGCAGUCAAUUCCCCUCGGGACGGUCAGUCUCCUCCUGUGACCCUGGCUGAGUGCCUGCUCCCUCCUGGGACUGCUGCAGAGUUUAUAGAACAGAGGGAGGGGCCCCUCUCAGGCCUGCCCCUUCCCCCAGUCCCCCUCUAGAGCAGGGCCUGAAGUGCCAUCGUCCAGCACUUUCUCUCCUUCCAGAUGCUCCGGCAAUGGACCUGCCACGUUACCUGUGUGAUUCCAGGGCCGUAGCAGCUUGGCUGUCUGUGUGAGGUGGGGCUGCCCCAUCACGUCCAGUGCUAUGACACUGGAUGCUUCUUGCAGUGAGUGGGCCUGGACACAUCCCAGACCCUUCCUGGUGUGAAAGGUCCUGACCUUUUUAUUGCUUCUUCCAGAAGCUCAUGGCACUGGAGCCAGAAGUCUUAGGCUUAGUCAGCGAUUAGCAAACCCUCGUCCCACCGGGCAGGCACGCAGGCCCCAGGAGUAGCAGCCCGAACGCUGGCCUUAUCUUUGGGCUCCGGUCGUCUGCCCCGACCCCUGCACGUGAAUCCUUUGAGGGCCCGUGAUGGCCCUGACCUUCCUCCUGUAAGUGGCUCAGAUGGGAGAUGGAGGAAACCAGGUAAACAAAUGCUGCCUCUCUCUCCCCUCCCCUUGGUCCUCCUGGUGUUGCGUCCACACUGGUGUUUGCUCAGUGCCUUGAAGUCUCCUCCUGCCUCAGGCCCUUUUCGUGUGCUACCUCUGUGUGGAACACUGCUCCCACCUUUCCUUCCUCUGAGCCCAGCCAGUUCUUCUUCAGGUCUUUGCUUAAACGUCAAGGCCAGCACGGGUUAGGACCCUGGUGCUGGAAGUCCGCCCAGGCGUCAGUUUCCUUCGGAGCACUCUUCCCAGGCAUGAUCUCCUGGCUAAGGGUGGGGCUAUUUGAGGGCUGCUGGGACCCCCCCCCACUUCGUUCAACCAGUGCUGCUUACACGUGGGCAGGCUUCGAGGGACCCGUGACUGCAGAUAUGAGAAAUGCUACACCUUUAUUCUAGCUAGACUUUGCUAAAGUGGAAGUCAUGGGCAUUUGCAUAUUAUACUACAACUGCAGGAGAUAUUUUGAAAAAUCAUCUACCCUCACCACUAAUCCAAAAUUAUAGCAGUUAUUAGACCUGCUGUUAAGUCUUGUUAGAUAAUUCACUAUAACGCAAGCUCACAGACUGCUAUAUCCCAAAUAUGGUUGCAGUAUAGAACCUAUAUUGCUAUAGAUUUCGCAGUAAUCAUUUGCAAUUACAGCACACAUUUAAACACAGCUGGAUGGAGUCCAUGGGCUUUCUCAGGCUCCCCAAGGACCACAGAUGCCCCAGAUGUUAUGACAUCAGCCCAGUGAGAUCCCCGAGGGAUGAAGGAGUUUGUUUGCUCCUGGGUCACCCAGACCCACCACCAUUGCUGGCACACAGAGGGGAGCUAAGAUUAUUCUUUAAAUGAAUUGGAGGGGACACAUCCACCUCCCUCAUGAAAAAUCACCCAAGUAAAGAGGGCAGGGCUGUUUGACCCUGCGUCAGCUCCUCCUGGCUCCAUACCUCACUACACACAAAGCACCACCCCCGGCUCACUUUACGCUGGGGAGAAACCCCUGGGUGCUCAGCCGCAGCCUGGGAGUGAAGGGGCCAUUUCCAGUGAGGGCCCAAGAAGGAAGCCCCUCGCCCCAUCUCUACCUCCCACAGUCUGGGGAGGGGCAUCCCUGCUCUGCCUCCUGUUCAGGUUACAGUUCUCCCUACCUUGACUUGUGGGUGGUCUGUCCAUCCUUGAGGGCAGAAUCGCUCUUGUUGGGUUUUAACACUGACAGGAUGCUGCAAAGCAGGAGGAGUCUGUUUAGUCAGGCUCUGAACGCAUGGUGGCCCUGGGCUGGCAGACACGGGGGAGGGCAGGACGUGCUCCUGCUGGAGCAGGGAUCUUCGGGUGCCGUGGGCACAGCCUGGAGAACGGGUUCAGAAUAUGGAUUCCUGCCGCAUUUUAGAGGGUUGGGUUCACUGGACCUGAAGUGGGCUCCAGAAAGCUGCAUUUAGAACUGCACUGCCGGCGCCACGGCUCACUAGGCUAAUCCUCCGCCUUGCAGUGCCAGCACACCGGGUUCUAGUCCCGGUCGGGGCACUGGAUUCUGUCCCGGUUGCCCCUCUUCCAGGCCAGCUCUCUGCUGUGGCCCGGGAGUGCAGUGGAGGAUGGCCCAAGUCCUUGGGCCCUGCACCCCAUGGGAGACCAGGAGAAGCACCUGGUUCCUGCCAUCAGAUCAGCGCGGUGCGCCGGCUGCAGUGCACCGGCCGCGGCGGCCAUUGGAGGGUGAACCAACGGCAAAGGAAGACCUUUCUCUCUCUCUCUCUCUCACUGUCCACUCUGCCUGUCAAAAAAAAAAAAAAAAACUGCACAUGGGGCUGGCACUGUGGUAUUAGUAGGUUAAGCCAGCAUCCCAGAUGGGCACCAGUUCGAGUCCCAGCUGCUCCACUUCUGGUCCAGCUCCCUGCUGAUGUGCCUGGGAAAGCAGUAGAUAGCUGUGCAAGUGCUGGCCCCCUGCACCCAUGGGGGAGACCUGGAAGAAGCUCCUGGCUCCUGCUUGGCCCAGUCUGGGCCCUUGUGACUAUUUGGGGCAUGAACCAGUGAAUGGGAGAUCAAUCAAUCUCUGUAACUCUGCCUUUCAAAUAAAUCUUUGACACACAAACACGGACACAUAUAUACACACACCAAUAGGUGUACAUAGGCACAGACCCAUCUACAGACAGACACACAUACCCCUAGAAUUCCGAGCAUACUGUGAAAUCACAUCUACGAGAAGUGCUGGUUAAGAAAUGUGGCUGCCAUGGGGGGCGGGACAUGGGGUGCAGUGGCAAAGUUGCUGCUGGGGAUCCCCGCAUUCUACCACAGGGCCUGAGUGCAAGUCCUGGCUCUGCUUCUGAUCCCAGCAUCCUGCUAAUGCCCUGGGAGGCAGCAGAGAUGGCGUACAUAGUCGGGUCCCUGACACUCAUGCAGGAGACCAGGCCCGAGUUCUGGGCUUGUGGCUUAGGCCUGACUGAGCCCUGGCUGUUGUGGGCCUUCUGGGAGUGAACCCGCACACGGGAGAGCUCUCCCCUCUCUCUCCUCCCUGCCUUUCAAACAAAUUCCAGAAACCCACAUUGAGUGGGUCUGGGGUCUGGUAUUUUUCACAAGUAGCCCAAGCCAGGUCUGGUCCCUCAGGGAUGGUUGGGAAAGGGUAUUUUAAGGAAGGGCAUUGCCUUAGAUGAGGAGAGAGGAGCCGUCUGGCCUGGAGGCCAGACCAGACCAGCUGGCUUUAUAGGGGUUUCAGAAACCCUAGGAUUCCAUGUCCACCGUGGUGGGUGCAGCUUCGGUGCCUACAGUGACGAAGGAACCCGGAUUUUAAGGGGAGGGGGCAAAAGGGAAGGUGCAGCUUUGCCUGAGGGCCCCUCAGCUCCACCAUGUGGCCCCUGUGUGCUGCCUGAGUGGGACAGGAGGGAGCUGCUUCUCCAGGAGGAAGGAGCGAGUGAGGGAUGUUUCAAUGGACUCCUGCUCGGUCACCAUGGUUAUUGAUCAUUAAAAAAAUCAAGUGCGGAGACCACGUGGGGGAUCUUGCGUGUGCACCUGUCUUUGAAGACCCGGAGAAGUCUCUGAGAUGUAGGCUGCAUUUUGGGGUGCUGGUGGAGGUGCCUGACUCAGCCAGAGGCUGACCCCACCCACCGCCACCAGGGCUGGAGCACUUCCUGUAGGCCAGCCCAUGCUAAGACAACACAUAAACGCAUCCUCUCACUGUGCACUUAAAAUGACUCACGGACGCAGAUGUUAGUUCUAGAACAUGCAUACUGCUUUGCAGGGGUCAUAUCCCUGGUGGUGGAGUGCUUGCCACAGCCCUGCGGGAUGGGUUACUGAUCAGCCUCACUUUGAAGAGCUAGAAUCGGACACAGAGAAGCAGUGGCUGGCUCAGCGCCACCUGAUGGUUACGUAUGGGGAUGUAGGUUGACCCUGGGCUCUGUGGAUCCAAAGCUGACGCCACCUCACCCUACAGCUGAGAAAACAGAGCUUUAGAGAGAGGCUGAGUGGCUUGUCCGAGGGUGCUAGGAUUUGGAUGCAUGUCCGUCUGACCCCCAGGCCAAGGCUCGUGGUCUGAGCUCUUACAGGGAGGAUCGGGGCCCCUCUGAACUGAAGCUGUACCCCUCACUGUUCCCUGUCACUCAUGCUGACAGUCGGGCCCAGCAGUGGGGGCUUUGGGGCCAACGCUGUCUCUGGGCACCCCCAGUGUCACCUCCCAGAGCCCUGAUGUGAGCCGAGGUGGCAGCAGACAAAUUCAUCACCAGUGAGAGCAAUGCUUGCUGAACUGUAAUUACGGUAAUAACAAUAACCAAUAAGUCAGAGCCGGCAUCCCCGUAGGCUGAAAGCAAUGAUGAUGAACCUCUUCUGGUGCCUCAUUUAUUCUCGGGAAGCAAUUUGCUUACUCAGAGGAAUCUACACUUGGGCAGGGAGCGCCAGCUCCAGCCCGCGUUCUCUGAGGCUUCCCACAGGGAGGAACGGGUUCAAGUCUGACACCACCUCCUUGGGAGUCCCUCUAUCCCUCCGGUCGCUGACCUGACACAUCAGAGAAUUCCUGUCCCACUUGGGAUAAAAACCAGAAUCCUUGAGGUUGCUUCCAACGUCUCCAGCCCAAGUUAUGUUUUCCCCAUAUCCCAUAUAGGCUGCAUUUCAGUUUCUCAAAGGUACUGUGGUCCCUUUUGACCACAUUGGCACAUCUGCUCCCUGUAACAGGCUCUUCCACCUCCAUGUCUCUGCCUGCAAUCCCUACCCUGGCCUUGGCAGGCCGGCUCUCUUUCAUGUUUCAUCCAAGAUCACAACUUCAAGUUUCUGUCUUGAAGGCGAUUUCUCUGCUCCCCACCCCAUCCCAGACUAUAUUCAACACCGUGCUUGUCCUCACAGUUCUGAGCCUUCCUUUCCCAACGCCUCAGUAACAAUCAGUACCCGGCCUGCACACUGGCAUCUGUGUUCUCUCAAAGACCAAUGAGCAAGUACUGCAUCCUGGUAGGUGGUGUAGCAGGGCGGUGAAGAGAAAGGUUUCUGGAAUUAGAUCUGGAUUUGAGUCAUGGUCUCAUCAUUCACUCACUGAUACACCUUGGACAAGUCACUUAGCCUCAUUUCCUGACUCAUGGAAUAAGGAUAACAGUACCCAGCUCAGAGGGCUGUGGUGAGAACUCGGGAGGUGAUACCUACCAGUGCUUGUCACGGAGGAAAUGCUUGGUCAUGGGUAACUGCGACAGUGAAUGUUAUCACUGCACGGCCAACAUUCUUCACUCGCCCGAAGGAGGCAGGAGAACAUACCUGGGUGCUUUCUUCUGCAGCCCGUUUUCCAUCAGGAUCGUCCGCCGGGCAUGCUCCCGAACUAUCUCUAGGAGCUUCUGCAGAUCUGAUGGGAACAUAAAAGGCCAUUCUUGAGUGCAGGGUACCCUGGAGAAAGACCUGUGCUGGGCAGCGCCAGAGCCUAGACUGGGAUCACCUCUGCCUCUCUAGGGAGAGGGGUCUGACAGCUUGUGGUGGAGCAGCUUGUGUUGGUCGGUGGGUUGUGUAUCUGACCAUGCCAUGACUCUUCCAUUCUCUUUCCAGAUUCCUCUGCAUGGCUGGUGAGGCCUCAGGGAUCUGCUCUCUCUUUUCUCCCCUCGAACAGAAUCUGGGGUGGGGCAACUGGCCCUCAUUCCUGCUGCAGGCUGGCCAUGGUCUUUUGCUGGGCAGGGACUCUCCAGCUCCCCCUGGCUUCCACUACCCCUCACUUCAUUAGGUGACUUUUAUUUUUAGACUUGAUAUUAUUGAUUUUUUUAAUAGUGUAGAAAUACUUCUUUAACCUGAAUGUUAGGGGUUGAAUUUGGGUCCCCUUCAAAAAAAAAAUAGGUUGAAAUCCAGUAUUUCUUUUAUUUAUUUGACAAAUAGAGUUAAAAAGAGAGAGAGACACAGAGAAAGGUCUUCCUUCCGUUGGUUCACUCCCCAAAUGGCCACCACAGCCAGAGCUACACUGAUCCAAAGCCAGGAGCCAUGUGCUUUCUCCCGGUCUCCCAUGCGGGUGCAGGGGCCCAAGCACUUGGGCCAUCCUCCACUGCCUUCCCAGGCCACAGCAGAGAGCUGGACUGGAAGAGGAACAACCAGGACUAGAACCUGGUGCCCAUAUGGGAUGCCGGAGCCACAGGUGGAGGAUUAACCAAGUGAGCCAUGGUGUAGGCCCCAAUCCAGUACUUCUGAAUGCAACCUUAUUUGGAAACAGAGUUGCUGCAGAUAAAAUUGGCUAAGGCAAUGUUGUACUAGAGUAGGGGAGUGUUUAAUCAGUGUGACUUGUGUCCUUAUAGUGAGAGUAGAGACACACAUACAUGGAGAAAAUGACUGGGUGAUGAUAGAGGCAGACUGCAAUGAUGCAUCCAGAAUUCAAGAAAUGCCACUGAUCACCAGUAACCAGCAGGAGCUAGAAGAGGCAAAGAGAGAGCCUCUCCAGAGACAUCAGAGGAAGUGAGGCCCUGCAAUCACAUGGAUUCUGGAUUAUCUGGCAUCCAGAACUAUGAGACCAGUAGCCUUCUGUUGUUUUAAGCCACGUGGUCUGUGGCAACUUGGUUAUGCAGCCCUGGGAAACUAACACAUGGGACAAUCUCAAAAGUUGGAAAGUGAAACGGAGUAAGCUGUGCAUUCCAAGAACACUGGUAGAGUGGGAGUGAAUGAUCCUGUCUUAUAUAGUCCAGUCCCCUUGACUCAUUUUUACUCCCUUGUGUGGAAUCUUCUGAUGCAAAACCAUGGGCUUUGGGCCAUCCUUUGCUUUGAGUUGUAGCUGUCCGUGGUGCUGAAAUAUCACAGUGUGAUGACUUGAUGACUACAGCUCCUCCAGAAUUUCUCCUGAUUUAUGAUCAAGGAGAGAGGAGAAUGCAUAUGGAAUGAGGAUCAGAGGAAAAACACCAAUAGAGAGCCACUGGAGGAUCAGAAAUGUCUCAAGAAAUAAAAGGGAAUAACUUUUGGGAUGGUUUUCAAAUAAUUCUAGGAACCAAGAAGAGAAUACAAUCCACAAUUACUGGAACUUGAGCAACUGAAACAAUAGUCUUAAAAAUGCAUUAUUUGGGGCCAGCGCUGUAGCAUAGUAGUUUAAACUUCUGCCUGUGGUGCACGCAUCCCAUAUGGGUAUGGUUUGAGUCUCAGCUGCUCCACUUCUGAUCCAGCUCCCUGCUAAUGUGCCUGGGAAAGCAGUGGAAGAUGGACCAAGUCCUUGGGCCCCUGUACUCAUGUGGAAAACCUGGAAGAAGCUCCUGGCUUCGGAUUGGCCCAGCUCUGGCCAUUGCAGCCAUUCGGGGAAUGACCCAGGUGAUGGAAGACCUCUCCCCCUGUGUCUCUCCCUCUCUCUAACUCUGGAUUCCAAAUAAAUAAAUAAAAUCUUUUUAAAAACUGGACAUGAUCUUAUGUGCUUACACUGAGGGCUACACAGUAUGGUUCUUGUGGCAGUGCAAAUAUUACACAAACUGGGACUAGCACCCAGACUCUGGUCUCCUGUGAGAGGAGAUGAGCAGAGACUAUACCGACAGAGCUGAACAAACCUCUCCCCUCUAAUAAGAGAAAAAACAAAAGAGAUUUACCAUGCCGAACUUGGGUGUCACCUUGAACACUCCCUUCACUCCAGAGCACUGAACAGAGCUCCCUGGUGACUCCUACCACAUGCCUCUAGAUAUUCACUGAAAAAGCAAACACUCCACUAAGACACAGAGGCAUAAUCCAAAGACUAGAGCCAUAAUAGGAAAAAAAAGAAACCAAUGAAUAUCACCACAAAUGCCAAAUAAUAAAUGCAGCAAUUCAAGAAACAAGAAUAAGUAAAACAUGAUGACAUCACCAAAAGAAUACUUCAAUACUAGAAUGUGAAGAUGAAGAGAUUGAAGAAUGCCAGAAAUGGAGUUGAAAAAAUUGAUUGUAGGAUUUCUUAGAAGUAAUCAAAAGCAAAUCCCUGAACUAAUGAAAUCCAUACAUAACAUGAAAGAAAAAUUCUGCCCCAAAAUUGAGAUCUUAAAGAAAAAUAAAAAUGAAAUCAUGGAAAUGAAGAAUUCAAUAGACCAGAAAAGAUGCAAUGCAAAGUCUUAAUAGAAUUGGCAAAGCAGAAGAAAGAAUACCCAACUUAGAAGAUAAAUCACAGGAAAUUAUAUAGUCAGACAAAAAAUAAGAAAUUAGAAAACCAAAGAACACUGCUGUAAAUCUACAGGAUACUAUCAAACUCCCUAACAUACAAGUUCUACAAAUUCCUGAAGGCAUGGAAAGAGAGAAAGGAUUAGAAGGCAUUUUAGUGAAAUAAUAACAGAGAACUUCCCUAAUUUGGAGAAAGAAAGGGACAUCCAAGUACAGGAAAAACACAGAGCUCUUAAAAGACAUGACCAGAAAAGAUCUUCACCAUGAUCCAUCAUAGUCAAACUCUCCACAAUCAAACAUAAAGAAAAGACUCUAAAAUGUGCAUGAGAGAAAUGCUGGAUUACUUUCAGAGGAUCUCCAAUUAGACUCACUUCUCUUCAGAAACCCUACAGGCUAGGAGAGAAUGGUGAGAUAUAUUCCAAGUCUAGAGAAAAAACUGUCAACCCAGAAUACUGUACCCUACAAAGCUCUCAUUUAUGAAUGAAGGUGAAACAAAGACCUCCCAUAAAAAUCAGAAAUUGAAAGAAUUUGUCAUCAUCCAUCCAGUCUUACAAAAUGUGCUUAAGGAUGUGCUACAUACAGAAACACAGAAAUAUGAUCAUCACUACAAAACAAGGUGAAGCCAGAAAAUUUCCCAGUAAAAGUACAAAGGAAAUCCAAACUAAACAAUAGAAAUAUUUAUGGAAAAAUGGCAGGGCCAAGUGGUUACUUCUCAAUAGUCACCUUGAAGGUAAAUGGCCUCAACACUCCAGUUAAAAGACACAAACCAGCUGAAUGGAUUAAAAAACAAAACCCAUAUGUUUUCUGCCUACAAGAAACACAUUUCACCAACAAAGAUACCCACAGACCAAAAGUGAAAGGAUGGAAAAAGAUACUCCAUGCUAAUAGAAACUAAAAAAGCUGGUGUAGCCAUCCUAAUAUCAGAAAAAAUAUACUUUAAACACAAAAACUAUUAAAAGAUACAGAGGGGCACUAUAUAAUGAUUAAGGGAUCAAUUCAACAGGAAGAGGUAACUAUUAUGAACAUAUAUGCACCUAAUUACAGGGCACCUGGAUAUUUAAAAGAAAUGUUAAGGGAUCUAAAAGGAGACAUAGACUAUAAUACAAUAUUAAUGGGGGACUCAAUACCCCACUUUCAGCAAUGGACAGAUCAGCCAGACAGAAAAUCAGCAAGGAAACAGCAGAGUUCAUCGAGACUAUACAUCAAAUGGACCUAACAGAUAUCUACAGAACAUUCCAUCCUACAGCCACAGAAUACACAUUCUUCUCAUCUGUGCAUGGAACCUUCUCUAGGAUUGACCACAUGCUAGACCACAAAGCAAAUCUCAGCAAAUUCAAAAAAAUCAAAAUCAUACCAUGCGCCUUCUCAGAUGACGCAAUGAAGCUGGAAAUCAGCUACUCAGGAAUCUCUAGAACAUAUGCAGACACAUGGAGACUGAACAACAUGUUACUGAAUGAACAGUGGGUCUUUGAAGAAAUCAAAAGAGAAAGAGAAGAUGACAAUACAACAUAUCAAAACUUGUGGGAUACAGCAAAAGCAGUGUUAAGAGGAAAGUUUAUGGCAAUUGGUGUCUACAUCAAGAAAUUGGAAAGACACCAAAUACAUGAGCUAUCAAAGCAUCUCAAGAAUCUAGAAAAACAACAACAAAGCAAACCCAAAACUAGUAGGAGAAAAGAAUUAGAGAAUAAACAAAAUUGAAUACAAGAGAUCAGUAAAAUGAAGAGCUAGUUUUUUGAAAAAAAUAAACCAAAUGGACACACCAUUGGCCCAACUAACCAAAAAAAGGAGAGAGAAGACCCAAGUCAAAAAAAUCAGAGAUGAAAAAGGAAAUGAAAUGACACCACAGAAAUAAAAAGAAUCAUCAGAAAUUACUACCAAGAGCUGUAUGCCAACAAACUGGGGAAAACUAGAAGAAAUGGAUAGAUUCCUGAACACAUACAACCUACCUGGAUUGAGCCAUGAAGACAUAGAAAACCUAAACAUACCAGGGCCGGUGCUGUGGUGCAGCAGGUUAAUGCUCUGGCCUGAAGUGCCAGCAUCCCAUAUGGAUGCUAAUUUGAGACCUGGUUGCUCCACUUCUAAUGCAGCUCUCUGCUAUGGCCUGGGAAAGCAUGCCAUCUUCUGAUGGCCCAAAUCCUUGGGCCCCUGCAUCCACAUGGGAGACCCAGAGGAAGCUCCUGGCUCCUGGUUUUGGAUUGGCACAGCUCCGGCUGUUGUGGCCAACUGGGGAGUGAACCAUUGGAUGGAAGUCUCUCUCUCUCUCUCUCUCUCUGUAACUCUCUGUAACUCUUUCAAAUAAAUAAAUAAAUCUUAAAAAAAGAAAACCUAAACAUAACCAUAACCAAGACAGAAACUGAAUCAGUAAUAAGACUUUCCAAGCAAAGAAAAGCCCAGGAUUGGAUGGCUUCACUGCUGAAUUCUACUAGUUCUUCUUAAAGAAGAACUAACUCCAAUUAUUCUCAAGUUAUUCAAAUUGAAUGUUCAGUAUUUCAAAACUGAAAAGGAGGGAAUCCUCCCAAAUUCUCAUGAAGCCAGCAUCACCUUAAUUCCUAAUCCUGAAAAAGAUAAAAUGGAGAAAAAACUAUAGACCAAUUUCUAUGAUGAACAUAGAUGCAAAAAUCCUCAACAAAAUACCAGCCCAUUGAAUCCAACAACACAUCAGAAAGAUCAUUCACUCAGACCAGGUGGGAUUUAUCCCUGGUAUGCAGGGAUGGUUCAACAUUUCCAAGUCAAUCAAUGUGAUAGAUCAGAUUAACAAAUUGAAGAACAAAAACCAUAUGAUUAUCUUAAUAGAUGCAGAUUAAGCACUUGAUAAAAUACCCUUUCAUGAUGAAAACUCUAAGCAAACUGCGGAUAAAAGGACCAUUCCUCAACACAAUCAAGGCAAUUUAUGACAAACUCAUGACCAGCAUCUUGUUGAAUGGGAGAAAAGUUGGAAGCAGUCCCACUAAGAUCUGGAACCAGACAGGGGUGUCCAUUCUCACCAUUGCUAGUCAAUAUAGUCCCAGAAGUCUUAGCCAGAGCCAUUAGACAAAAAAAAAAAAAAAAAAAAAAAAAAAAAAAAAAAAAAAAAAAUCGAAAUCAACGGAAUUCAAAUUGGGAAGGAAGAAGUCAAACUACCCCUAUUUGCAGAUGACAUGAUUCUAUAUAUAGGGGAUCCAAAAGACUUCACCAAAAGAUUAUUGCAUCUCAUAGAAGAGUUUGGUAAAGUAGCAGGAAAUAAAAUUAACACAAAAAAAUCAACAGCCUUUGAAUAUGCAUACAAUGACACAGCUGAGAAUGAAUCUCAUUCAUAAUAGCUACCAAAAAAAAAAAAAAAACACCAAGCCGGCGCCGUGGCUCAAUAGGCUAAUCCUCCACCUUGCGGCGCCGGCACACCGGGUUCUAGUCCCGGUUGGGGCGCCGGAUUCUGUCCCGGUUGCCCCUCUUCCAGGCCAGCUCUCUGCUGUGGCCAGGGAGUGCAGUGGAGGAUGGCCCAGGUGCUUGGGCCCUGCACCCCAUGGGAGACCAGGAAAAGCACCUGGCUCCUGGCUCCUGCCAGGAUCAGCGCGGUGCGCCGGCUGCAGCGGCGGCCAUUGGAGGGUGAACCAGCGGCAAAGGAAGACCUUUCUCUCUCUGUCUCUCUCUCUCACUGUCCACUCUGCCUGUAAAAAAAAAAAAAAAAAAAAAAAAAAAAAAAAAAAAAAAACA